rnacentral:rRNA from 1 species
ACACUCCUGCGGGAGGCAGCAGUGGGGAAUAUUGCACAAUGGGCGCAAGCCUGAUGCAGCCAUGCCGCGUGUAUGAAGAAGGCCUUCGGGUUGUAAAGUACUUUCAGCGGGGAGGAAGGCAAUACGGUUAAUAACCGUGUUGAUUGACGUUACCCGCAGAAGAAGCACCGGCUAACUCCGUGCCAGCAGCCGCGGUAAUACGGAGGGUGCAAGCGUUAAUCGGAAUUACUGGGCGUAAAGCGCACGCAGGCGGUCUGUCAAGUCGGGUGUGAAAUCCCCGGGCUCAACCUGGGAACUGCAUUCGAAACUGGCAGGCUUGAGUCUUGUAGAGGGGGGUAGAAUUCCAGGUGUAGCGGUGAAAUGCGUAGAGAUCUGGAGGAAUACCGGUGGCGAAGGCGGCCCCCUGGACAAAGACUGACGCUCAGGUGCGAAAGCGUGGGGAGCAAACAGGAUUAGAUACCCCUGUAGUCCCA